UUCUGUUAUUAUGAUGAAGAUUGGUUAUGAAGAUUCUGCGAAAUUGAAGGUUCUGAGGAAGAUGAUGAUUGAAGACGGUGAAGGUCCUGGUUGUUACGUUGUAGGUUGAAGAGAGGAUGAAGAUGAAGACUCGAGGAAAAAGAGAAUCGAUAUUUUCUGAGAGAAUCUUCAAGAGGUUGAAGAGGUGAUGAAGAUUGGAGAAGAGAGUGAAGAUUCAGCGAGAGUUUGUUAUGGAUUCCAUUUCUUUUUGUUAUGCAGGGAUCUCUUGAAUCUAUUGCUGCUACCGUUUUUUGGAGAAGUGUAGGGUCGGUUUAGUUGUGGUUCACCGAAGCGGUUCAACCUUUUCCUCUUGCUGUAGUUUUGAUUAUAGUUGCAGGUUUGAACCGGUUUGCGAGAGUUUUUGCGGUGCAGCUCGGUUCUUGUCAAACUUCUUGAACCGAUUCAUGGGCUUUGAAAUGCAGGGUCGGUGACCUUUGUUCACCUUUGAAUUGGAUUUUGUCUUGAAUGUUUGUAUUUGCAAGUUAAUGGAUUGUAAUGAAUAUGAUAUAGGUUUUUUGUAAUGGACAUGAACUUUUGUAUAAUAUGGGUAUUGAAUAUUUGGAACUUUUGAAUGAA